rnacentral:lncRNA from 1 species
ACUAAUAUUAUCAGGAUAACACGUUUUGAAAAAUGGCCAUGUUUGUUAUGAUACUUUAAAUGGAUAGAUAAUAGAGUUCUAAAGGAUGAAUACUAGUGAAAUAAAGGAACAAUUUGAAUAGCUAGUGAAGACUGAAUGUAGACAUAAACUCAAGUUUGGGGAAAAAUAUUUGGACUAUAUAAGCUUCUUUAAAAAAAAUAAAAAUAAAAUAAAC